rnacentral:lncRNA from 1 species
CACGUGUUCAUCUUCUAUUGGUUCUAUGCACCCACCCGCUUUCUUUUAGGUAAGCUCUGCCCCAGUUUCUUCUUGUCCUUUCCCUUUCCUUUGUUGUUUUUAUGACUGAUCGUUCUGUUCUUGGCUUGCAAAAUUCCCGGUUUUUCUGUCUUUGUGUUGAUUCCAUCCUUCAUGGUUCUUGUUUUGCUUAAAGCGAUUUGAGAAUGUAAUCGCUUUCAACCAAGAGCCAAAUGGAAGAUCCUCUUUAAGUUGUCCUUUGUAAUUCCCACAUUCUCUAAAUUGAUGUCCCAGCUUAAGAAUUCUUGGGUUGGUAGAUGAAGUUAAUUAAAAGCUAUGUAUCCUCUAAAAUGGCAUAAGCUUGUCGUUGGAUUUGCAAAAUUAAUUGUAAGUGGCUUUCUAUUUAGGAAGCAUUGUGAUCACAA